rnacentral:rRNA from 1 species
CGAGAAGUAAAAGUCGUAACGAUGGUCUCCGUGUGGUGAACCAGCGGAGGGAUUAUUAGUCGAUUUCUACACUCCCAAGCCGGGCCUGUGGACUUAUUCCUUUUUUGUUGCCUCGGCGGGCACGGCCGCGGACGCGCCCUCGCGGGGGCACACGGGGCCAGGCGGCCGCCGGAGGACCCAAACCGUUUCUGUAUUGUCUUACGCACCUGUCUGAGUGGAGUUGGUACAAAUGAAUUUAAAACUAUGAACACACCGGAUCUCUUGGUUCUGGCAUCGAUGAAGAACGCAGCGAAAUGCGAUAAUUAAUGUGAAAUUGCAGAAAUUCAGCUGAAUCAUCUAAUCUUUGAACGCCCAUUGCGCCCGCCAGUACUCUGGCGGGCAUGCCUGUUCGAGCGUCAUUUCAACCCUCAAGCCCGCUGCGUGCUUGGUGUUGGGGACCGGCCAGCCCGCCUUGUGGUGGCGGCCGCCCCUGAAAUGAAUUGGUGGUCUCGCGGGGGCGUUCUUCUGGGUAGUAGCAUACCACGUCGCCACCAGGAGCGUGGCGCGGCCAGUGCUGUAAAACGCCCAACUUGUCCAAGAGUUGACGUCGAAUCAGGUAGGAAUACCCGCUGAACUUAAGCAUUUA